rnacentral:rRNA from 1 species
UACAGAGGGUGCGAGCGUUAAUCGGAAUUACUGGGCGUAAAGCGUGCGUAGACGGUAGCGUAAGUCAGAUGUGAAAGCCCCGGGCUCAACCUGGGAACUGCAUUUGUGACUGCAUAGCUAGAGUACGGUAGAGGGGGAUGGAAUUCCGCGUGUAGCAGUGAAAUGCGUAGAUAUGCGGAGGAACACCGAUGGCGAAGGCAAUCCCCUGGACCUGUACUGACGCUCAUGCACGAAAGCGUGGGGAGCAAACAGG